rnacentral:rRNA from 1 species
UACGUAGGGGGCAAGCGUUGUCCGGAUUUAUUGGGCGUAAAGAGCGUGUAGGCGGCUAGGUAGGUCGGUUGUGAAAAUUGGAGGCUCAACCUCCAGACGUCGAUCGAAACCAUCUGGCUAGAGUCCGGAAGAGGAGAAUGGAAUUCCUGGUGUAGCGGUGAAAUGCGCAGAUAUCAGGAAGAACACCAAUAGCGAAGGCAGCUCGCUGGGACGGUACUGACGCUAAGGCGCGAAAGCGUGGGGAGCGAACAGG